CUUCCUUUUUCCUCUUGUGGCUGCGAUCUCCCCCGACGAAAUCCCACAGAAAAUUAACGCGACCUUUGAUCUCCGUAACGUCCCCCUAAUUCUUUAGUCCGUUCUUUAUUUCAAUUUUUCAUUGAAUAAUCCACUCUUCCCACUUGAAGAUUUCGUUUUACCUCUUCGUUUCCACUGUAUCACGCUGGAGAUUGAUUUUCUUCAGGCCCUAACCAGCAAUCGAGCACUAUAUCGGGUGUCCUUCUUAAAUCUAAUACCAUUUCCAGUGUUUCUGUUUCGUUGUGUGAUCAUGAGACUCAAGAGAUUGAAGUUCUCUGUCAUUUAUCAUUUCUUUAUGUGUGCAAAAGGUACAGCUUCUCUAUUGUUAAGCUUCUCAAGAAUCACACCUCCAAAUAUAGUUGUAUUUAGGUUAGGCACAGUGAGAGAAUGAAACUUUGAACAUCUUCUUCCAUAUCAUUCUAUAUUUCAGAGGGUCGAAAGCCAUGGCGAAUCCUCAACUUCUUUUGUAUGAGUUGAAGAUUUGAUUGGUGUAAGAAGACUGUUCUUACACGGAUCCUCUGUCUUUGGGAAGCAAGGAAUGUGAAAAUGGUGAAAAGUUUUAUGGGUGGCUCUGGUAGAUGAGAAGGUUUUCAGAUCAAACCACCUUUCUCGAGGUUACAUAGACCGUCAACUCUAUACCAUCAGAGGUCUUCAUGUUCCGCAACUAUGAGCAAAUGAUUUUAAUUGCUAAACACGAACAUCCACUUACCAGGCCUGUCUCUAAACUUAAACUCAAUAGUGGUUUAAUUGAAUACAUUUACUAAACAAUUAAUAAUUCCUAACUCAUCGCUCUUUGAUGCAAGAUAUUGUUGGGGAAGUUUUCGUCAUGAAAAGCACAUACAAGACAAUUCAGAGGAUUAUGGUCAACAUACGGAUUGAAUGAGGCCAAAUGUCGAUGUCAGUGUUUUGGAUGGAUUCGCCAACUUAUAUGGUUCCUUUAGUAGAUCGCAAGCUACUGGUAUGAUUAACGAUUGUUAGUUCGCUUUCUACACACAGCAUCCUCCUUUGUAACGGAAGGGAUAACAAGCCUGCUGAUCACAUGCUUGGAGCUGGAGCGGUUAAAACCAAUCCUACUGAUAGGUUUAACAGUGCAUCGCCUGAGAAAAUAUCUGAUAGUGACAACGCUGGAAUGCUUGACGAAAGUGCUGUCGGCCCUGCUCUUCCAACUGUUAUGUCUCGAUAAAUCAACAGAUAAGAAUGAACCACUUAUGGAGAAGCGUGAAGGGAAGAACCCACACGUGGCUUAAAGCUUAACUUCACAGGCUAAGGAGAGCCAAAGCUCAGAAUGGACAACUUCUACUCUUUCGCUUUUCUGUUUCUAAAUGUUUCCACUUUGAUUUUGUCUACCGUUUCCUGAAAUUAAACCAGCUGCUGGUUGUGUUUUAAAUC